rnacentral:tRNA from 1 species
GGUGUAUAGCUCAGUGGUAGAGCACUUGCCUAGCAUGCAUGAAGCCCUGGUUUGAACCCCUGCAUCA